rnacentral:misc_RNA from 1 species
UUUCCGUAGGUGAACCUGCGGAAGGAUCAUUAUUGUAUAACCGAGGUGCGAGGGCUGUCGCUGACCCGAAAGGUCGUGCACGCCACAGUGACCCAACGGCGAUCGGUUGGUGUCUGUCCGGUUCUGAGCAGCUGUAGCCUAAGUCCGUGGCUGCGUUGGCGAAUCGGGGCACGCAUACGUCCCGCUAGUCGGGGUAGCGGAUGCGAAGACUCAAUGAGCUCCACGCCUGGGAGCUGCCAACCAACCUUUUUUUCAACGAAUUUUUCUUAACUAAAGACAAAUAUCAGUCUUACCGGUGGAUCACUCGGUUCGU